UUGUAGCAUACAAGGCAUACGGCUCAGUAACGCGUAGUCAACCUAACCUAUGGACGGGAAUAACCUCGGGAAACUGAGAAUAAUGCCCGAUAGAACACUAUACCUGGAAUGGUUUGUGUUCCAAAUGAUUUAUCGCCAUAGGAUGGGACUGCGGCCUAUCAGUUUGUUGGUGAGGUAAUGGCCCACCAAGACUAUUACAGGUACGGGCUCUGAGAGGGGUAGCCCGGAGAUGGGUACUGAGACACGGACCCAGGCCCUAUGGGGCGCAGCAGGCGAGAAAACUUUGCAAUGUGCGAAAGCACGACAAGGUUAAUCCGAGUGAUUUGUGCUAAACGAAUCUUUUGUUAGUCCUAGAAACACUAACGAAUAAGGGGUGGGCAAGUUCUGGUGUCAGCCGCCGCGGUAAAACCAGCACCUCAAGUGGUCAGGAUGAUUAUUGGGCCUAAAGCAUCCGUAGCCGGCUCUGUAAGUUUUCGGUUAAAUCUGUACGCUUAACGUACAGGCUGCCGGGAAUACUGCAGAGCUAGGGAGUGGGAGAGGUAGACGGUACUCGGUAGGAAGUGGUAAAAUGCUUUGAUCUAUCGAUGACCACCUGUGGCGAACGCGGUCUACCAGAACACGUCCGACGGUGAGGGAUGAAAGCUGGGGAGCAAACCGGAUUAGAUACCCUGGUUAGUCCCAGCUGUAAACUAUGCAACUCAGUGAUGCCAUCCUGAUGUCCAUUGCAGCUGCUGCCAAGA
rnacentral:rRNA from 1 species